GGUUAAGUGAAUAAGGGCGCACGGUGGAUGCCUUGGCACUAGGAGCCGAUGAAGGACGGGACUAACACCGAUAUGCUUCGGGGAGCUGUAAGUAAGCUUUGAUCCGGAGAUUUCCGAAUGGGGGAACCCAGCAUCUUUUAUAGGAUGUUACUUUUCAGUGAAUACAUAGCUGAUUAGAGGUAGACGCAGAGAACUGAAACAUCUAAGUACCUGCAGGAAGAGAAAGAAAAAUCGAUUCCCUGAGUAGCGGCGAGCGAAACGGGAAAAGCCCAAACCAAGAGGCUUGCCUCUUGGGGUUGUAGGACUCCGAUA
rnacentral:rRNA from 1 species